UACGGGGGGGGCAAGCGUUGUUCGGAAUUACUGGGCGUAAAGGGCUCGUAGGCGGCCAACUAAGUCAGACGUGAAAUCCCUCGGCUUAACCGGGGAACUGCGUCUGAUACUGGAUGGCUUGAGGUUGGGAGAGGGAUGCGGAAUUCCAGGUGUAGCGGUGAAAUGCGUAGAUAUCUGGAGGAACACCAAUGGCGAAGGCAGCACUCUGGGACGUGACUGACGCUGAGACGCGAAAGCGUGGGGAGCAAACAGG
rnacentral:rRNA from 2 species